rnacentral:rRNA from 2 species
UGCGCGUGCUAUCAUGCYAGUCGAGCGACUGAUUAGAAGCUUGCUUCUAUGACGUUAGCGGCGGACGGGUGAGUAACACGUGGGCAACCUGCCUGUAAGACUGGGGAUAACUUCGGGAAACCGGAAGCUAAUACCGGGAUAGGGAUCUUCUCCUUCAUGGGGAGAUGAUUGGAAAGAUGGGUUUCGGCUAUCACUUACAGAUGGGGCCCGCGGUGCAUUAACUAGUUGGUGGAGGGUAACGGGYUCCCCAAGGCAACGGAUGCAUUAGCCCACCUGAAAAGGGUGAAUCCGGCCCCCACUGGGGACUGAAAACCCGGGCCCAAA